rnacentral:rRNA from 1 species
CCUACGGGAGGCAGCAGUGAGGAAUAUUGGUCAAUGGUCGGGAGACUGAACCAGCCAAGCCGCGUGAGGGAUGAAGGCACAGAGUAUCGUAAACCUCUUUUGUCAGGGAACAAAGGCGGGGACGUGUCCCCGGCUGAGUGUACCUGAAGAAAAAGCAUCGGCAAACUCCGUGCCAGCAGCCGCGGUAAUACGGGGGAUGCGAGCGUUACCCGGAUUUGUGGGUUUAAAAGGGGGCGCAGGCGGUCUGUUAAGUCAGCGGGCAAAGCCCGGGGCUCAACCCCGACCCGCCGUUGAAACUGGCAGUCUCGAGUUGGGGAGAGGUAGGCGGAAUGCGCGGUGUAGCGGUGAAAUGCAUAGAUAUCGCGCAGAACUCCGAUUGCGAAGGCAGCAUGCCGGCUCCACACUGACGGUGAGGCACGAAAGCGUGGGUAUCGAACAGGAUUAGAUACCCGGGUAGUC